rnacentral:rRNA from 1 species
GAUGAACGCUGGCGGCGUGCCUAAUACAUGCAAGUCGAGCGAACAGACGAGGAGCUUGCUCCUCUGACGUUAGCGGCGGACGGGUGAGUAACACGUGGAUAACCUACCUAUAAGACUGGGAUAACUUCGGGAAACCGGAGCUAAUACCGGAUAAUAUAUUGAACCGUAUGGUUCAAUAGUGAAAGACGGUUUUGCUGUCACUUAUAGAUGGAUCCGCGCCGCAUUAGCUAGUUGGUAAGGUAACGGCUUAUCAAGGCAACGAUGCGUAGCCGACCUGAGAGGGUGAUCGGCCACACUGGAACUUAGACACGGUCCAGACUCCUACGGGAGGCAGCAGUAGUGAAUCUGCCGCAAUGGGCGAAAGCCUGACGGAGCAACGCCGCGUGAGUGAUGAAGAUCUUCGGAUCGUAAAACUCUGUUAUUAGGGAAGAACAAAUGUGUAAGUAACUAUGCACGUCUUGACGGUACCUAAUCAGAAAGCCACGGCUAACUACGUG